AUUGAACGCUGGCGGCAGGCCUAACACAUGCAAGUCGAGCGGAGCGGCGGACGGGGGAGUAAUGCCUAGGAAUCUGCCUGGUAGCGGGGGAUAACGUUCGGUAACGGGCGCUAAUACCGCAUCCUAUCACAUUAGCCUAGGUCGGAUUAGCUUGUUGGUGGGGUAAAGGCCUACCAAGGCGACGAUCCGUAACUGGUCUGAGAGGACGAUCAGUCACACUGUGACUGAGAAACGGUCCAGACUCCUACGGGAGGCAGCAGUGGGGAAUAUUGGACAAUGGGCGAAAGCCUGAUCCAGCCAUGCCGCGUGUGUGAAGAAGGUCUUCGGAUUGUAAAGCACUUUAAGUUGGGAGGCGUUACCAACAGAAUAAGCACCGGCUAACUUCGUGCCAGCAGCCGCGGUAAUAC
rnacentral:rRNA from 1 species